CCUACGGGUGGCAGCAGUGAGGAAUAUUGGUCAAUGGACGAGAGUCUGAACCAGCCAAGUAGCGUGAAGGAUGACUGCCCUAUGGGUUGUAAACUUCUUUUAUAUGGGAAUAACAUGUUCCACGUGUGGGAUUUUGUAUGUACCAUAUGAAUAAGGAUCGGCUAACUCCGUGCCAGCAGCCGCGGUAAUACGGAGGAUCCGAGCGUUAUCCGGAUUUAUUGGGUUUAAAGGGAGCGUAGGUGGAUUGUUAAGUCAGUUGUGAAAGUUUGCGGCUCAACCGUAAAAUUGCAGUUGAAACUGGCAGUCUUGAGUACAGUAGAGGUGGGCGGAAUUCGUGGUGUAGCGGUGAAAUGCUUAGAUAUCACGAAGAACUCCGAUUGCGAAGGCAGUUCACUGGACUGCAACUGACACUGAGGCUCGAAAGUGUGGGUAUCAAACAGGAUUAGAUACCGAGUAGUC
rnacentral:rRNA from 1 species